UAAUAUGUAGUGAAAUCACAAUAAGUUGCAAACUUAUAAAUACUUAUAGUCGUAUUAA
rnacentral:tRNA from 1 species